rnacentral:misc_RNA from 1 species
GGAAGGAAGAAUUUACUCCUAUGCAGAAUGGUUUUCUUCAUGCAGAAGGCACGCAUAAGUCCAGAACAGGGAGUGUCUCAAGAGAAGAGAGUGCAGGGACACCUACGUCCCAUGGUUCAUGCCAAGGAAGCCCUUGCGCUGGAAAUGGAUUCUCCCCUCAGAACGAGCUGGUUAAUUCACCAGCACAUGAGUCGUGCAUGAAAGUGGGAGGCUCUCUGGAAGCAGCUCGUCAGACCACAGCAGAAAUCAACUUAUCUUCCGCAUUCCUGAUGCCUCAGCCUAUUAUUCCAAAACACACCCAGGAACCAUUUGGAGGAAUGCUAGUUGAGGAUGCAGGC